AAGAAUACAAGAAUACAAGUUAGUAAAAUUUCCUUGAAGGACAGAAAUGAUAAAUAUACUUGUGGAUUUCAUGUUUCAGUGUCUCUUUGUCAGCUGUCCUAUCAUGGGAAAUGUAUUUCAGAAGUCUUUCUGUGUCUUAUCCACAUCACUAGAGCUCAUCAUUCCAGAACAAACCCAACAGACACCUCUCCAGCAAGAGACUGCAAGAGAUUGAGAGUCCACUUGGAUGAGAACUGAAGCAUCUCAUCUGACAGCCAAACACCUCUGAAACAGUGCUCACUGGCUGAUGUGCAGCUAACCGCAACAGCAUGAAUAAAAGAACUGGCUCUUUGA